rnacentral:hammerhead_ribozyme from 1 species
AUCUAGCUGACGAGUUCUAAAUAGGACGAAACACGUGUCCUGGAU